rnacentral:rRNA from 1 species
AGAUUGAACGCUGGCGGCAUGCCUAACACAUGCAAGUCGAACGGGAGUAGCAAUACUCUAGUGGCGGACGGGUGAGGAAUACGUAGGAAUUUGCCCUUAAGUGGGGGAUAACCCGGGGAACCCGGAUUAAUACCGCAUGACCUCGAAAGAGCAAAGUGGGGGAUCGCAAGACCUCACGCUUUUGGAGAAGCCUACGUCGGAUUAGCUAGUUGGUGAGGUAAAGGCUCACCAAGCCUUCGAUCUGUAGCUGGUCUGAGAGGACGACCAGCCACACUGGGACUGAGACACGGCCCAGACUCCUACGGGAGGCAGCAGUGGGAAUUUGGACAUGGGCGAAAGCCUGAUCCAGCCAUGCCGCGUGCAGGAUGGAAGGCCUUCGGUUGUAACUGCUUUGUACGGAACGAAAGUCUACUUACUAAUAAGAGGAUCGAUGACGUACGUAAGAAUAGACACCGACUAACUACGUGCCAGCAGCCGAC